rnacentral:lncRNA from 1 species
CUCAAUUUAGGGGAAGGGUUUUGAUUAAACUAUGUUGCUUGUGUUUCUAUUUGUACAGAUAAAAGGGAAGCUGAAUUUUACCAAUUUGUACUGCUCUCCAGGAAAGAGGAAACUGAGUUUAAAAAAAAAAACACAAUACUUCUGGAAAAUUCUGCCCCAAAGCCUGGCCCACGUCCCUGUACUACCGUCUGCCUACAUACAUCUUCUGAAAUGUGUGACACUUGCCUCAUCUGCAGACAUGCAACAUCUCCCGCAGGAUGCACUUGACCUCAGGCAGGGUGGGAAGAACGGGGGAAUGUUGAGAAGAUGCCCCAGUGAUGCCAAGGUGGCAUCUUCAGACAUGUGACCCCCAAAAAUGUGACUUUGCUGUAUGUUUUGAUCACACCUUGUAUUUAUCUGUGUUUGACUUUACUGAGCCUUGGAUUAUUCGUGAGAUCUAACAUCUGCUUUGUGGUGCCCAUUCCACCAUUUUCAGACAUGCAGUAUCUGAAAGUGAGGGCUGCUCCUUGCAGUUCCCAGCCUGGGCUGCUCUUCCUGUGCAAGACCCAGAGCUCCAGCCCUGAUGUCUACAGAGGGGGUGAUCAGAAAAUACGGUGACUAUCAUAAAUUUUAAAAAAUGUAUCACAGUAAAAAACAUAUUGCCAAGGAUGAUGGGAUAUGUGUGUUCAAAGUGCGGGAAGGUGUUUGAAUAAUUUGAGGGAGGUU